rnacentral:tRNA from 1 species
CUGGGGCUGGGCUCAGCGGUAGAAUGCUCGCCUAGCAUGUGUGAGGCCCUGGGUUCGAACCUCAGCCCCUUGU